UAUAAUUUAGUGUAUGAUGCAUAAAAAUUUUUGAUAUUUUUGGGAAUAGUUUAAUUCUAUUAAUUAUAA
rnacentral:tRNA from 1 species